rnacentral:lncRNA from 1 species
GAUACUGGUGGGAUGGAUUCAGGAGUGGUGAAGGAUUAUGUAAUGGAAUGGAUUGGGAAUGAGAUCAAGAAGGAGAGGCCAAAGACUGAGUGGAUUGGGGCUUCGUCAAGUUCAGGAGUGGUUGGUAAAACAGAAGAGUGGGAAUGAGAUCAAGAAGGAGAGGCCAAAGACUGAGUGGAUUGGGGCUUCGUCAAGUUCAGGAGUGGUUGGUAAAACAGAAAAGAAGAAGCAUAAGAAGCGAUUAGAUUGGUGGGUUUCCUUGGAUGAUGAAAAGAAUGUGAAAAAGGAGAAGAGGAGGCCUGCAAGGGAGUGGUGGAAGGAGGAGUAUUGUGAGGAGCUUGCCAGGAAGAAAAAGAAAAAGAAGAAGCAACAGGGUGGAAUAGGUUUAGUUAGUGAUGAUUGUCAGAGUGACUCUUGGUGGCCAAGGGAUGAUGAAUUGUAUGCUGAUAGGAAGAAGAAAAGG